rnacentral:rRNA from 1 species
UGCGGAGGAAAAGAAACCAACCGGGAUUGCCUUAGUAACGGCGAGUGAAGCGGCAAAAGCUCAAAUUUGAAAUCUGGUACCUUCGGUGCCCGAGUUGUAAUUUGGAGAGGGCAACUUUGGGGCCGUUCCUUGUCUAUGUUCCUUGGAACAGGACGUCAUAGAGGGUGAGAAUCCCGUGUGGCGAGGAGUGCGGUUCUUUGUAAAGUGCCUUCGAAGAGUCGAGUUGUUUGGGAAUGCAGCUCUAAGUGGGUGGUAAAUUCCAUCUAAAGCUAAAUAUUGGCGAGAGACCGAUAGCGAACAAGUACAGUGAUGGAAAGAUGAAAAGAACUUUGAAAAGAGAGUGAAAAAGUACGUGAAAUUGUUGAAAGGGAAGGGCAUUUGAUCAGACAUGGUGUUUUGUGCCCUCUGCUCCUUGUGGGUAGGGGAAUCUCGCAUUUCACUGGGCCAGCAUCAGUUUUGGUGGCAGGAUAAAUCCAUAGGAAUGUAGCUUGCCUCGGUAAGUAUUAUAGCCUGUGGGAAUACUGCCAGCUGGGACUGAGGACUGCGACGUAAGUCAAGGAUGCUGGCAUAAUGGUUAUAUGCCGCCCGUCUG